GGAGCUUGCUCCAAAGUUAGUGGCGAACGGGUGAGUAACAUAUCGGAACAUGUCCGGAAGUGGGGGAUAACGUAGCGAAAGUUACGCUAAUACCGCAUAUGCCCUGAGGGGGAAAGGGGGGGAUCGCAAGACCUCUCGCUUUCGGAGUGGCCGAUAUCGGAUUAGCUAGUAGGUGAGGUAAAGGCUCACCUAGGCGACGAUCCGUAGCUGGUCUGAGAGGACGACCAGCCACACUGGAACUGAGACACGGUCCAGACUCCUACGGGAGGCAGCAGUGGGGAAUUUUGGACAAUGGGCGCAAGCCUGAUCCAGCCAUACCGCGUGAGUGAAGAAGGCCUUCGGGUUGUAAAGCUCUUUCAGCCGGAAAGAAAUCGCACUUCUUAAUACGAAAUGUGGAUGACGGUACCGGAAGAAGAAGCACCGGCUAACUACGUGCCAGCAGCCGCGGUAAUACGUAAGGUGCGAGCGUUAAUCGGAAUUACUGGGCGUAAAGCGUGCGCAAGCGGCUUUUUAAGCCAGAUGUGAAAUCCCCGGGCUUAACCUGGGAAACUGCAUUUUGGAACUGGAAGGCUAGAGUG
rnacentral:rRNA from 1 species